rnacentral:rRNA from 1 species
GUGAGUAACACGUGGGUGAUCUGCCCUGCACUCUGGGAUAAGCCUGGGAAACUGGGUCUAAUACCGGAUAGGACGCUCUCUUGUAGCACAUGGGCGGGGGUAGAAAAGGUUAACUGGUGCAGGAGGGGCCCGCGGCCAAUCAGCUUGUUGGUGGGGUAAUGGCCUACCAAGGCCACGACCGGUAGCCGGCCUGAGAAGGGCGACCGGCCACACUGGGACUGAGACACGGCCCAGACUCCUACGGGAGGCAGCAGUGGGGAAUAUUGCACAAUGGGCGAAAGCCUGAUGCAGCGACGCCGCGUGAGGGAUGACGGCCUUCGGGUUGUAAACCUCUUUCAGCAGGGACGAAGCGAGAGUGACGGUACCUGCAGAAGAAGCACCGGCCAAACUACGUGCCAGCAGCCGCGGUAAUACGUAGGGUGCGAGCGUUGUCCGGGAAUUACUGGGCGUAAAGAGCUCGUAGGCGGUUUGUCGCGUCGUCCGUGAAAACUUGGGGCUCAACCCCAAGCUUGCGGGCGAUACGGGCAGACUUGAGUACUGCAGGGGAGACUGGAAUUCCUGGUGUAGCGGUGAAAUGCGCAGAUAUCAGGAGGAACACCGGUGGCGAAGGCGGGUCUCUGGGCAGUAACUGACGCUGAGGAGCGAAAGCGUGGGUAGCGAACAGGAUUAGAUACCCUGGUAGUCCACGCCGUAAACGGUGGGCGCUAGGUGUGGGUUUCCUUCCACGGGAUCCGUGCCGUAGCUAACGCAUUAAGCGCCCCGCCUGGGGAGUACGGCCGCAAGGCUAAAACUCAAAGGAAUUGACGGGGGGCCCGCACAAGCGGCGGAGCAUGUGGAUUAAUUCGAUGCAACGCGAAGAACCUUACCUGGGUUUGACAUAUACCGGAAAGCCGUAGAGAUACAGCCCCCCUUGUGGUCGGUAUACAGGUGGUGCAUGGCUGUCGUCAGCUCGUGUCGUGAGAUGUUGGGUUAAGUCCCGCAACGAACGCAACCCUUGUCCUGUGUUGCCAGCGCGUAAUGGCGGGGACUCGCAGGAGACUGACGAGGUCCAACUCGGAAGAAGGUGGGGGACGACGGUCAAGUCAUUCAUGCCCCUUAUUGUCCAGGGCUGUCACACAUGGCUUACAAUGGACGGUACAGAGGGCUGGCGAUAACGUGAGCUGGAGCGAAUCCCAUAAAGCAGAGUCUCAGUUCGAAUCGGGGACUGGCUAACUAAGACCCCGCUGUACAGGUCUCGAGUCGCUAGUAAUCGCAGAUCAGCAACUAUGCGGUGAAUACGUUCCCGGUCCUUGUACACACCUCCCGUCAAGUC